CAGACGAACCAUUGAAAAAUAAUAAAAUUUAAAAUUAUCUACCCUACUGUAAACACUUCACCGUUAUGACAUAUGAAAAUAAGUCUUACUUAUGAACCGUUUAAUACUAUUAUCUAUCUUUCUAUUUAAUAAUUAAAUACAUAUAACCAUUUCACACUCAAACCCAUAUUUGAAAUAACUUGAUAAAAUUUAUUUAAAAAUGAUGCAUUAAUAUCUCUUUAGAAUAUAAAAUUGUGAUAAUGCAUGUUCAUUGACAUGUCAUCAUCGUGUUUUGCUGUCAAAGAUCUCAUUCACUAUGAGGUGUGUAAUUAGUCAUGGUCUUAGCUUCUUGUGAAGUGUAUAGUCAACAAAAACUACCCUUUGAAAAUGGGUCGAAUCGUCAUACGAUAUUAGCCUACUGAUAAGAAUUUGUUGACUAUUUUGUGUAUUUCUUUGUAAUAAAAAUAUCAACAAAUCCAGGUUGAUUGCAAUCUGACAUUUGUCUAAUUGUAAAAAUCCAUAUAUACAAAAAUAUUACAAACUUUCACACACUUCUUGCAAAAACAUCAAAUAUCCAUUAGUCUAUUCUUAUAAUUAAAUAGUUAAUCAUCUUUCAUUGGCUUUCAUUUCCCAGUUCACUCAAUCUAUCCCAGACCAUUUCUACAGAUAGCCAAAGUCACGAUAUGCAACCAGAGUUAAAAUGCAUCCAAUAAAACUUACUUUUGAAAAACAAUAUUUCAGACAACCCCAAGCUCCCUCCUAUAUAUUGUAUAACAAUAUCAAACGUAAUGUGUAUUGACAAAACUGUUUAUAUUUAAGUUAAAGUUGUUUGUUAAGAUAACGUUAAUACCGUACCGUUUUAUUUAAGGUUACGUUAUUACAUCUUAUCAUGGCAACACUAAAACUCAAUAUUUUAUCAUGGCAACCCCGCAAUGAAGCGUCCCGGAAGUGACAGAGGGGAUGUGUUAAGCUUCUCUCUGAUCAAACUGACCGUUGUCACUGGCUCAGUUUUGAAUUUCACCCUGUGUCGUGAAGUGAAAUGUAAUUGUGAAGUGUAAUAAAUUUUGUUGCUGAAGAAAAUAAUUGGCUCUAAUGAAUGAAUCCGGGUUGCUGGAUGAGUUGGGUGACCCUGAAUCUACCCUUUAGAUACGUAAGGCGUUUUUGAGUAAGCUGAUAUGUAAUUAGUCCUCCUAAUUAUAUGACGACAUUUGAUAAAUGUUCCAAGUAACGAGGUAUCGAGUGCCACUGAAUGCUGUCCUGUUAUUUUAUUUUGAGCUAAACUACCACAUUCAGCAUCUCUACACUCGACCCGCGACCCCAAGAACCAGUGUUCUUCUACUCUAGACUUGGUAAUAUUAGUCCCUACAAUGCAAGUUACAUCGGUAGAGUGAAGCCAAGAGGAGAAAAAAUUAUAUUGAUAAUAUUAUAAUAUAUAGAUAUAAUUUAAAAAAAAUUCAAGAAAAAUCC